AAAUCACUUUUACUAGAGUCUGGAAAAUGGCUUAGAGAAGAGCAAGGGUGCCUGCAGCCCUGGACAGGCGGCGGUUAGACUGGGAGCCAGCCUCUCGGCCGUGAAUUGGGGACAUGGAGUUCGAUGUGUCCUGCCGAGUAAACUGACCUUACGUGCAUUUCUGUCUUCCAAGGGCUGUGGCCCCCAACCUGGUAGUCCCCUCGUCAGACCCUCAUGUCUCCACCUUCACUGACUCAGUGCACCUUGCUACCAGGUACUCCCAGAAAUGUCACCUUUAGAGUGUUGCUUCUCCGUGCUUGAGGCGUGAUACCUGGUUUCCAAUACAAAUACUUGCAGUGACCAACUCCUUUAGGUCUUAUCAGCUUGU
rnacentral:lncRNA from 1 species